rnacentral:misc_RNA from 1 species
GAUGAAGAACGCAGCGAAAUGCGAUAAGUAAUGUGAAUUGCAGAAUUCAGUGAAUCAUCGAAUCUUUGAACGCACAUUGCGCCCGCCAGUAUUCUGGCGGGCAUGCCUGUUCGAGCGUCAUUACAACCCUCAGGCCCCCGGGCCUGGCGUUGGGGAUCGGCGGAGCCCCCCGUGGGCACACGCCGUCCCCCAAAUGCAGUGGCGGUCCCGCCGCAGCUUCCAUCGCGUAGUAGCUAACACCUCGCGACUGGAGAGCGGCGCGGCCACGCCGUAAAACACCCAACUCUUCUGAAGUUGACCUCGAAUCAGGUAGGAAUACCCGCUGAACUUAAGCGUAUCAAUAAGCGGAGGA